UUCACCUACCAAUGAAAUCUAACAUUAAAUAGAUUACUAUUUUUGCACCAGAAUAAGUAGUACAAGAAAAGUUGCGUCUCUGCUACCAACAAAAUGAGAACAAAACAAUUAUUAUAGAAAGAAUAAUGAAAAAUGAACUCACAGUCAGUAAUAUGGUCUUCCAUCUUAGUCUAUUUUCACUAACUUAGCUGAUUUCUUCGAAGAAAAUUAUUUUGAUAAUGCAAGAUAUAAAACUAAAUCGUCUGACAUUACCUCCAUCAAAGUGGCGCAUAAAUUUACCAAGAAAACUUGUUGCUGUCCCAAGAUAUGAGCAUCUUAGAUUACUGAGACAUAUAAACUAUUAUGGGCUAUCCAUUAGAUACGAUGUGAUUC
rnacentral:lncRNA from 1 species